CCUCAUUUCAAGAUGGCUGCUACCUACAUUCCGGGUUAGCGUUGUGAAGCAUAAAUGAAAUAAAUACAAUAAAAACAUUUUUAAAAAAUCAUAAAUUAAAUAAACACGGAAUACAUUGAUACACACCGAAAGCCGGGACUCCACAGAUCAUGAGGAUAUCUUAUUUGUCUGCCUGUUACCUACCAUUAUUGAUCACCUGCCCCGAGAGUCAAACUGUUUAUUUUACACAAUGUUUUCACCAAACAGCAAAAAUCUUACAAGAGUGGAGGAUGCAGAGGAUUUUGAUGAUGACGUUCAAGAGCCACCCCUCCACAGCAAGCGCCCCGCUGGUCAAAGUCUUCACUCCCCACUGCUAUGUCAAUCAUCCCAUCUGAUGACUCUACAUCCACCACUUGACAAAGGCCCCACUACUCUUCAACCACCCCCACUGCAGUUUCAAUCACCCCGUCUGAUGGUUCUACAUCCAUCAGGGCUCCCGAGUGGCGCAGCGGUCUAAGGAACUGCAUCUCAGUGCUAGAGGCAUCACUACAGACACCCUGGUUUGAAUCCAGGCUGUAUCACAACCGGCCAUGAUUGGGAGUCCCAUAGGGCGGCGCACAAUUGUCCCAAUGUCGUCCGGGUUUGGCCGGUUAUUGUAAAUAAGAAUUAGUUGUAAAUAAAGUUUAAAUUAAAAAAAUACACCAUUCGACAAAGACCCCACUCCUCUUCAACCACCCCCACUGCAGGCCCUCUCUGCAAGUUAAUCUGGAGGUGUGGGGCAGGGAGGAGAUCUAGGCCUCAACAAAGAGGGAGAGGCAGAGGGAGUGGACAUUACUUUAAUUAUUUAAUUCUCCACAAGCAGAUGGCCAAAGCAAAAGUUCAUACCCCUCUCUCCCAGUUGGCCUUCCAAGAGCAGCUGGUGUUGGAAAUGGCUAAAAUGGGGGCCCAAAGGAACUUUACAACCAUCACAAGACCCCCCACUCAAGGUGAGAGCCACUAUCCAACACACAUGCCAAAAAACAAAAGGAGGAACUGCAUGCAUUGCACAAAACACAGGGGUGAAAAGGGUGAAAUACCACACUUUUUGUUUCUUGGCAGAGAGGUACUGCUUCAAAGACUAUCACGACAUGCACAAGCUGUGGUGAAAUCGAAUAAUCUACACCUUGGAUGUAAAAUGAACACAAAUGGCAUUUGUAAAUAGCUCAGCUUAUUUCUAUUUUUGCGCCUUUUUUAGUGAAAGACACGUGUGUAACCAAGUUUGUGUUUGAUAAGACACUUUUAUAUAUAUUUUUUAUUUAUCUCUGUUGCUUUUAUAUUGCUUUUGUAAACAGUUAAUUUGUAUGUGGGACCAAUACAUUGGAUAUGCCUAGCCUAAACAUUCAGGCACUUUGGAGAGGUUGAAAAAACACUUGUCCCCUGACACCACCACAAUGUUUGAGAGAGGUUAGUGUCGUAGAAAUGUUGUUUUAUAGUCAACAAUAACUUUUAGGCAUAUCCAGUUUACAAAAACAGUCCAAUUACCACAUUCUGACACUUUGGAGAGGUUGAAAGGACACUUGAAUGUACCCUCGAUACACCAUAACACCACCACAAUGUUUGAGUGAGGUUGAUAUGGUAGAAAUUGUGUUUUUAUACUGAACAAAUAGCAUUUUAGGGAUUGCAAAUAUGUAAUAGCACUGGAAUUAUCUAAUUUACAGACAUGCCACUUUAGAGAGGUUUAUGGACACUUGGAAACUCCUGUGACCUCACCUGACACCACUUACUAAAACAUCUUCCCAUUUAUAGUUGUUAGGUAUAUCAAUCCUGUUUUUUUCUGAUAUUCACAUGUUGUAGAAAGGCAUUUGAUGUGUUCCCAGCUCUAGUCAUCAAUAAUUCACUAAUAGCUUGUCAAUAAAAUAAGACUUUUUCUGAUCA